rnacentral:lncRNA from 1 species
UUUGGCCUUUUCCUUUUGGCAGUUCCUGCCGAGCCGAGCCCUGAUUAGAACCACAGCAGGUCAUUCGAUCUUCAGAUGGCUAUAAAAGGUCUGUGCAAGUGACCAUCUCGCUCCUGUCCCAAAUGGAUGAUCACGCAUAGCGCACAUUGCCGCACUCCUGGCAGGACUUCAGCAAAACUGCCGCGUUUUUCCUUCCAGAGCUAAAGCAUAACACAAGGUUUUCCUUGUGAAUGUGCUUUUAAUGUUCACGGGCUUGUUGCAGUGCUGCCAACAGUGUUAAAAAUAACAGAGCAAGACUGACUUUGAUGACAGAAAAGCAACGUUUUCAUUGUAAAAGUAGAUUUCUGGUUCUGGAGAGAUCAGUUUAAGAAGAGGGAUGAAGAAGAUAAACAGAACCUGCAUUAAAUUUUGGGAGCUGGUCAGGACCAAAUGUAUUGAACUCUACCCAUCAAAGAUACCAGGUAAACACCAGCAUCAAUCACAGAUGAAGCCCAGAGUGAGAAGGACUGCAGGUGAGAUGUCACUCUGAGGUGUCCUCACAAUGGUCCUAUGCUCUUUCUCCAGUUCAUCUCCAGAUCAUGAUGGAAGCCAGUUUGGGUGAGGAGAUAUCUGGAAAAUAAUAAAGAAUUGGCACCAGGCUCA